rnacentral:rRNA from 1 species
GGUUAAGCGACUAAGCGUACACGGUGGAUGCCCUGGCAGUCAGAGGCGAUGAAGGACGUGCUAAUCUGCGAAAAGCGCCGGCGAGGUGAUAUGAACCUUUGACCCGGCGAUGUCCGAAUGGGGAAACCCAGUGUGUUCCGACACACUAUCGUUAACUGAAUACAUAGGUUAACGAGGCGAACCGGGGGAACUGAAACAUCUAAGUACCCCGAGGAAAAGAAAUCAACCGAGAUUCCCCCAGUAGCGGCGAGCGAACGGGGAGCAGCCCAGAGUCUGAAUCAGCUUGUGUGUUAGUGGAAGCGUCUGGAAAGUCGCAGGGUACAGGGUGAUACUCCCGUACACGAAAACACACUUGCUGUGAACUCGAAGAGUAGGGCGGGACACGUGGUAUCCUGUCUGAAUAUGGGGGGACCAUCCUCCAAGGCUAAAUACUCCUGACUGACCGAUAGUGAACCAGUACCGUGAGGGAAAGGCGAAAAGAACCCCGGCGAGGGGAGUGAAAAAGAACCUGAAACCGUGUACGUACAAGCAGUGGGAGCCUACUUGUUAGGUGACUGCGUACCUUUUGUAUAAUGGGUCAGCGACUUAUAUUCUGUAGCAAGGUUAACCGUAUAGGGGAGCCGAAGGGAAACCGAGUCUUAACUGGGCGUUAAGUUGCAGGGUAUAGACCCGAAACCCGGUGAUCUAGCCAUGGGCAGGUUGAAGGUUGGGUAACACUAACUGGAGGACCGAACCGACUAAUGUUGAAAAAUUAGCGGAUGACUUGUGGCUGGGGGUGAAAGGCCAAUCAAACCGGGAGAUAGCUGGUUCUCCCCGAAAGCUAUUUAGGUAGCGCCUCGUGAACUCAUCUUCGGGGGUAGAGCACUGUUUCGGCUAGGGGGCCAUCCCGGCUUACCAACCCGAUGCAAACUACGAAUACCGAAGAAUGUUAUCACGGGAGACACACGGCGGGUGCUAACGUCCGUCGUGAAGAGGGAAACAACCCAGACCGCCAGCUAAGGUCCCAAAGUCAUGGUUAAGUGGGAAACGAUGUGGGAAGGCACAGACAGCCAGGAUGUUGGCUUAGAAGCAGCCAUCAUUUAAAGAAAGCGUAAUAGCUCACUGGUCGAGUCGGCCUGCGCGGAAGAUGUAACGGGGCUAAACCAUGCACCGAAGCUGCGGCAGCGACACUAGNNNNNNNNNNNNNNNNNNNNNNNNNNNNNNNNNNNNNNNNNNNNNNNNNNNNNNNNNNNNNNNNNNNNNNNNNNNNNNNNNNNNNNNNNNNNNUAUUAACGCUGAGGUGUGAUGACGAGGCACUACGGUGCUGAAGUAACAAAUGCCCUGCUUCCAGGAAAAGCCUCUAAGCAUCAGGUAACACGAAAUCGUACCCCAAACCGACACAGGUGGUCAGGUAGAGAAUACCAAGGCGCUUGAGAGAACUCGGGUGAAGGAACUAGGCAAAAUGGUGCCGUAACUUCGGGAGAAGGCACGCUGAUAUGUAGGUGAAGCCCCUGCGGGUGGAGCUGAAAUCAGUCGAAGAUACCAGCUGGCUGCAACUGUUUAUUAAAAACACAGCACUGUGCAAACACGAAAGUGGACGUAUACGGUGUGACGCCUGCCCGGUGCCGGAAGGUUAAUUGAUGGGGUUAGCGGCAACGCGAAGCUCUUGAUCGAAGCCCCGGUAAACGGCGGCCGUAACUAUAACGGUCCUAAGGUAGCGAAAUUCCUUGUCGGGUAAGUUCCGACCUGCACGAAUGGCGUAAUGAUGGCCAGGCUGUCUCCACCCGAGACUCAGUGAAAUUGAACUCGCUGUGAAGAUGCAGUGUACCCGCGGCAAGACGGAAAGACCCCGUGAACCUUUACUAUAGCUUGACACUGAACACUGGUCCUUGAUGUGUAGGAUAGGUGGGAGGCUUUGAAGCGUGGACGCCAGUCUGCGUGGAGCCAUCCUUGAAAUACCACCCUUUAAUGGCUGGUGUUCUAACGUAGACCCGUUACCCGGGUUGCGGACAGUGUCUGGUGGGUAGUUUGACUGGGGCGGUCUCCUCCCAAAGAGUAACGGAGGAGCACGAAGGUUAGCUAAUCCUGGUCGGACAUCAGGAGGUUAGUGCAAUGGCAUAAGCUAGCUUGACUGCGAGAGUGACGGCUCGAGCAGGUGCGAAAGCAGGUCAUAGUGAUCCGGUGGUUCUGAAUGGAAGGGCCAUCGCUCAACGGAUAAAAGGUACUCCGGGGAUAACAGGCUGAUACCGCCCAAGAGUUCAUAUCGACGGCGGUGUUUGGCACCUCGAUGUCGGCUCAUCACAUCCUGGGGCUGAAGUAGGUCCCAAGGGUAUGGCUGUUCGCCAUUUAAAGUGGUACGCGAGCUGGGUUUAGAACGUCGUGAGACAGUUCGGUCCCUAUCUGCCGUGGGCGCUGGAGAAUUGAGGGGGGCUGCUCCUAGUACGAGAGGACCGGAGUGGACGCAUCACUGGUGUUCGGGUUGUCAUGCCAAUGGCAUUGCCCGGUAGCUAAAUGCGGAAGAGAUAAGUGCUGAAAGCAUCUAAGCACGAAACUUGCCCCGAGAUGAGUUCUCCCUGACUCCUUGAGAGUCCUGAAGGAACGUUGAAGACUACGACGUUGAUAGGUCGGGUGUGUAAGCGCAGCGAUGCGUUGAGCUAACCGAUACUAAUGAACCGUGAGGCUUAACCUU